rnacentral:rRNA from 1 species
UACAGAGGGGGCAAGCGUUGUUCGGAAUUACUGGGCGUAAAGGGCGCGUAGGCGGCCUGUCGCGUCGAUCGUGAAAACUUGGGGCUUAACCCUGAGCUUGCGGUCGAUACGGGCAUGACUGGAGUUCGGCAGGGGAGACUGGAAUUCCUGGUGUAGCGGUGAAAUGCGCAGAUAUCAGGAGGAACACCGGUGGCGAAGGCGGGUCUCUGGGCCGAUACUGACGCUGAGGAGCGAAAGCGUGGGGAGCGAACAGG